UCCUUUCUAAGGCUCUACUGAUUUUAUGUGUACAGCAUGUGGCUGCUAAGUCAUGAAAUUAUGUGUAUGGAUUGAAAAUGAAGAAAAGCACCCAUAAGUUUUACAUUUUUGACCUAUCCUUUCCACCCUGAUCAAGUUUCUCAGCCAACAUGGAAAAUCACCACGAUUUUCAGAUUACUACAAUAGUCAAAUGGCCUCAAAUAACAAGAACAAUUUGUGAUUAUGACCCACAGUAAUUCCAAGAAACAAUGACAUCAACAACAAACCAAAUUACUCAGAGAAUAAGCAGUAAUGCAUCGCCUGUUAAAUUUUUGAUGCGGAAAAUUAGUGCUUCAGGUCUGAAGAGAGUGACAAGCAUAGUGUUGAAAGAGUAGCAAGAAUAAUGUUUGAGCUAUAAUUUCAGGAUUAAUAAUGCAGAUUCACCCUUCCUAGUGGAACAGAA